UGGGGCAGAAUCCAUUGCUAGAAGUUGUUUGGAGAAACAAUUGGUUAUGAACCUACCCAUGGAUGCACUAAGGUUGGCCGAGCUACACUCGGGCCCGAAUGCAGUCCGUGUGGAUUUUAGUACCCGCUAAAGAAUUAAUGUAAUUCUUCGAGUUGGAAGUAGAGGCUACCAAUUUGUUAAAAAUAGUGGGAGAACCUUUAGACUAAAAUCUAUGUCUUCAGGAUUAAAAGUAAUUCAUAUACUAAUAGGCUAGUGUUUUUUCCUUUCAGUUAUGGCCAACACACUAUUCCUCCGUUCGGGACAGCGACAAGCUUACCGGACCCAACUUCGAUAACUGGUAUCGAAAGUUGAAGAUCGUGUUGGAGCAUGAAAGAAUUUUAUAUAUCCUUAAGGAUCGGGCACCUGAAGAACCUGCAGCCAAUGCUCCUCGUGCUGCGAAAGACCCAUGAAGUGGCUUAAUGACCGCACGACUGUAAGUUGCGUGAUGAGGAUAGCUAUGAACGACGAACUUAGUCGUAAGUUCGAG
rnacentral:lncRNA from 1 species